rnacentral:lncRNA from 1 species
CCAAAUCAUCAGACUCAAGUAGGCUUUAAUCCAAAUCCAAUUUGAGUAAUGCUAACAUUUAGAGAUGCAAUUGCCAUCAUUCCAGUAAAAGAAUUCUUCUCCAGUUGCUUCAAAUGGAAAUUCAAAGAACUGUAUGCCAUCAAUCAUUAUCUAUUCAUACACAACUUGGGAUUCAUGCCAAAUCAUCAGACUCAAGUAGGCUUUAAUCCAAAUCCAAUUUGAGUGAUGCUAACAUUUAGAGAUGCAAUUGCCAUCAUUCCAGCAAGAGAAUUCUUCUCCAGUUGCUUCAAAUGGGAAUUCAAAGAACUGUAUGCCAUCAAUCAUUAUCUAUUCAUACACAACCUGGGAUUCAUGCCAAAUCAUCAGACUCAAGUAGGCUUUAAUCCAAAUCCAAUUUGAGUAAUACUAACAUUUAGAGAUGCAAUCACCAUCAUUCCAGCAAGAGAAUUCUUCUCCAAUUAAUUCAAAUGGAAAUUCAAAGAACUGUAUGCCAUCAAUCAUUAUCUAUUCAUAUACAACUUGGGAUUCAUGCCAAAUCAUCAGACUCCAGUAGGCUUUAAUCCAAAUCCAAUUUGAGUAAUACUAACAUUUAGAGAUGCAAUUGCCAUCAUUCCAGCAAGAGAAUUCUUCUCCAAUAAAUUCAAAUGGGAAUUCAAAGAACUGUAUGCCAUCAAUCAUAUCUAUUUAUACACAACCUGGGAUUCAUGCCAAAUCAUCAGACUCCAGUAGGCUUUAAUCCAAAUCCAAUUUGAGUAAUAUUAACAUUUAGAGAUGCAAUCGCCAUCAUUCCAGCAAUAGAAUUCUUCUCCAAU